CCAAAAAUGGUAUACAAGGUUAUUAUAGAAAACAUGUCCCAGGCCUACUUAACAAGUGGUUUUCAUCUAGAAAUCCAGCUAACAAACAGGAACUACUUUUGUCGGCGCUUCUACAAAAAAAAGAGCUUCAAUAAACAAAAUCCAGUCACGCACUUCUGACACAUAAAAUGUGAAUAAAUGUUAUGAUCUCUAUUCAAAAUUACGGACAUGCUCUUGCAUCAACAUGCAGUAGAGAAAAUCUUGAUAUUUCCUCAAGCCAUAUCCGUGAUUGCAAAACAUUUAGUGGGAAACCUUAAGAUGAAUCACUUGUAAUUUAAACUUGAUUCAAACAUAAAGUUUAGACCCCAGGUGGAAACCAAAAUGGUGAAGCAAGAAGUACAAAUGCAAUAAUCUUACUCAACCAUGCUCUGUAGGUUGGUUGUUAUUGUUUUUGCUUGUCCUAUCAAAUUUAUUAUGCAACUAAAAGUAAGAUCCGUAAUCAACUAUGUACAUGGAAGUCAGUUUAUCACACCUACUCUACCUACUUCACAUGCCUGAAGAAUAGCAUAAGAAACUAGGAUAGAUAUUUGUGCACUAUAAUUGCCAGCAUAAUACCAGGAUAAAUGAGAUCCCAAGUUCCAAACGUUUGACAUCCUUUUUGUUGCCAAAUUUUAUUGGACUAGUGACAAGUGUAACAUAUUAAGGUUAUAUAUUUGCAUGUUCACAUCAUGCAUUUAACUAGUGCUAUGAGAGGGUAAAAUUCCUUGAGCUUAAAAAAUGAAUGACUGAAGAGUGCAAAAAUAAAGUGAAUACCUGAUCACGCUUUUCAACUUUUAUAACUGCUUUCCGCAACCCAAACCCUGGAUCUGACCUUGAUGACUUGGUAAUGGUCCCAAACCUCCGCUUGCAAACAGGACAUCGUGACUCAACUUUUGACCAUUCCAUUAUGCAUGCAAAGCAGAAAUAAUGUGUGCAGCAAUUCAACACUCCUCGAACUGUCAUCCUUUGCUCCUCUGAUAAACAGAUCCCGCAGAGCGGCUUCCCCAGCUCAUCGUUUUCUUUCUCCUUGCCCUUCUUGUCGCCUUUCAUUCCGGCAGAUAUCCUCUUCAGCUGAGGCUGAUCCAAAACCCCACCAACUCCCAGAUCCCUUAAUUCUUCCUCAGAAAUCAUAUAAUCACCAUCUAAAGAAGACUCUGAUUUAUCCGACGAGACCAUAACCUUUCCCCGUGUUCUUUUUGUGUUUGUCUUCCUGAAAUAUUUGUUGUUAAUCUCCGGUCUAUUUAACAAAACCGUGUCCCCCAUGAAAUCAUCAUCUGAAGUUACAAAAUCAAAAUCGGAUGUAUCUGAUUCCACUGGCGACUUAUUCUUGAUAGCCCACGAUGUUGAGACUUUCCUCCUCCCUGUUUCCUUAGGUUUUUUCGACUUUCUAUCAACCGCAACACGAUCUUUCACAAUGAAAUCAUCAUCUUCGCCAGAUCUGUGUGGCCUGCUCCUUUUCCCUUUCUUUCGUUUCAAAGCCCUCGGCUUCCGCUUCUUCCCACCUUGUUUCGGAUUUCCUCCUUUCCUUUUAAAUUCCGAAAUCACAGAUGCCUCUUCAUCCUCAAAAUCUUGCUCAUCGGGCGAGAAAUCCUCAUCCCCAUCAUCGUCUUCUUCCUCCCUUACCUCUUCCUCAGAAUCCGAAGCCCUAGGCUUCUGACGGCGAGAUCUAACCCCAGCCUUCUUCCUCCUCUCCCCCUUCUUCCGAAUCGAAAAAUCCACUCGAUCCUCCUCCUCCUCCUCGUCUUCUUCCUCCUCCUCCUCCUCCUCCUCGUAAUCAUCGUCGUCAUCGUCAUCCCAAACCCUAGAUUUCUUCACCCUCCUCUUGGGUUUGGAAGGGGCCUUUCGGGGCUUCGAUCUCGGCGCCAAGAACUCCUGCUCAUCAUCCUCAUCGGAGCCACCGGUGGACUCGCCGAACUCGUAUUCGUCUUCCUCGCCGUCGGAAGCGAGGGGUUCGUCAGAGCUCUCCUCCUCCUCCUCCUCUCCCAAGACGUACUCCUCGUCAUCGUCGUCGUCGUCGUCGUCGGAGGCCUUGGAUCGGCGCCUACGCCUCCGUCCGGCGGCCGCCCGCUUGUAAACGACCCUCCCUCCUCUUCCCAUAUCACCUAUUAAGAGUAUCACCGCCGCCCCCCCCGCCCCCCAACAACCAGAAGAGAGAAAAAACAAAAAGUAGGGAUUAAUCGUUAAAAACCAUCAAAACCAAUGUUUUUCCCUGCAACGGGAAAAGAAUUCGAAACAUUACUGUUGAUCUUUUCUUUCUUUUCUCGUUGUUCUUGAAAUAAAUAAAGAUUCGAAAUAGAAAACCAUGACGAAGAAUUUCCCUCAUUUGUAGAAGAUGAAGAAGACAAAAAAGAAAAAGAAAAAGCGGGAGAGAGGGAGUCGUAGGGAAAUAUAAAAGUGUGGGAGGGUGGUGGGGUUAAUUGUUGCGUUCGUCGUACCUUCUCUCGAAGAGGCGGAGACGAGGACGGGUGGCGGCGUCGGCCACAGGAGAGGAAUCGCGAGACACGAGAGAGAGAGAGAGAGAGAGGCGAGUGAAGAUAGGCUGAGGACGAGGGGGCGGUGGGCCGCCGACUUGAUGCCUGUGGUCGCUUAAUCACGAGAACGCCCUCCGCGGUAGGGUGGUCCUGCGGAGUAGCGUAGACGCGAGGGAGGCUCCGGGAUGCCCUCCAACCGAGGCUUUUCAUUUGAUGGGGAAACCCUCGCUAUUGAUUAACUGCCAUGCCGUGGGGUCCACUCAUACCCCUCCUCAUGUUUGCCUCUUCCCCAAUAGACGAUCGACACGGAGGACUGUGCGUCGCUUGCAUGUUUUCCAAGCUCAAAAUGUUACCUGUCAAACCUUACCGCGUCAGUUGUUUAUUAUUAUUAUUAUUAUUAGUAUUAUUAUUAUUAUUAUUAUAAACAAAUUAGAUAAGACCUUUUCUAAAAUAUAAUUUUAGUAGCAUAAAAAAAGGAGAAAUAACAAAUUUUGAAUAAUUAAAUUAAAUAUUUUAAUUAUAAUUCUUAAAUUUAUUUAUUUUUUACCACUAAGGUAUUGAUCUGACAUAUUUUACACAUAAAAUAUUAAUUCCAUGAUGAUGUACCAGACCUAUUUAUUAAAAAUUAAAAAAAUUUAUUUGAAGAUGCUAAUUAAUUUAACUGAUAAAUAAUUUAUUAUAAAAUUUUUUACUCAAAUCUUCUUUUUAUUAUUUAUCUUUUACAUUAUUAGGCCAAUCUUAACAGAGAAAUAUGUGCCCCAAAAAAAGAAAAGAAAAGAAAAGCAGUUAAGAUAAAAUGUUCAAAUGGAUUUUCACAAGUAAUAGAAUGAAAGUUAAAACAAAAAAGAAAUGUCUAAUAUGGUCUGGUCAUGAUGGCAUGUUCAAAGAAAACCUAUGUAUAGGUCAAUCAAAUUUGGUGAUGUUUCAUAACUUGUUUCAUGCACAAUUAUGUGGUUAUAAUUCACUUCCAAAUCAACCAUUGGCCAUCCUACAGUAUCAUAACAUCUAAUAUUGCAGAACUUAAAUGAGGACACCUUAGAGAUGCCAGCCCAGAAAGGUCAAGAACAGGUGCUGAUCUUAGGAUGGUCAGUAAGUACAUUGAAUCCUUAACAAGCUGAGCCAUGGAAAUUUCUCUCUCAAGAAGGAAAAGAACAACUAAUAAAAAUGUUGAGGAUGGGGUAGUUUGCCUAACACUGAAAGAAGAGGAAGUCUGCCCUGUUCUUCCACUGCAGUCUGAAAAGUCUCUCAUGUGAUAACCUUUCUCUUCACUUCAAUCACAAUUAGUCCAAACCUUUCUUUUCACCUGCAGUCACAUCAGCAAAGUUUAUGGACAAGAGCUCAUUCAUCCUUUCAAUGGUAGUUGGAUUGAGGCCAUGAGUGCCAAUCUUCCUACUUCUAUCCUAAUAUAGUUGUUAUUUUAUUUUAUGAUCUUAAACCAAAGAUUUUUUCCCUUAAUAGUCAAAGCAUAUAUGAAAAACCCCACAAGGGAAAGAUGUCAGCAAUUAAUGUGCUUAUUUUAAGGACCUACAUAUCAUUAAAAGAAAUAAAAAUCAAUAGUAUAUGUUUUUUUUUCUCUUUAUACAAGUUCUAAAAUUCUGUUGGAAUUAAAUGUAUGAUUUAGUAUUGAUAUCAAAAUAGACAGAAAAAUCUGUCUUUUUCAAAUAUGACAACCUCUCCACAUGAUUUGGAUAUGAUAAAGGCUGAUAUUAUCUUACCAAUCCUACUCACUCAUAAUUCUCCAAGUAGGGCUCAUCAGAUAGACAUGGUAAGACUUUUAAGACCAAUAUUGACCAGGCAAUGGUUAAUGAUCUGAUUUCAUUUAUAUAAAUAUAUAUAUAUUUGAGGCCAUUAAGAUUUCUACAUGACAGAUAAUAAUUUGCUGUUUAAUCUCUGGUUCUCUUACUCUGAUAUUAAAGAUUAAAUUCUUUCUAUGUACUGAAAAAUGAUUCCCAACUAAUGAGAAUUUUACCUCUGCCUCAAUGUAGUGCCUCAGAGAACAAUAAUAAUUUCAUUGGUCAGCCUUCAUCCUCUUGCAACAGUGCAGAAAGCAUUAGUACUCUCCAAAACAAUCUCAACUUUCAGAGAGAGAGAGAGAGAGGUGUUAGAAUGACAAUCUUCACAAAAUAUGAAACAAAUCAACUGAAUAUUAAGAUGGUUUGGGAAGCAAAUAAAGAACCCUAAUGACUGCCUCACUGACCAUAACUGAUAGAAUGAGAAAGUUAAGAGGGCAUACUUUGAUCAGAGAGUACUUACUGUUUUCUCAUUCUCUUCUCUAUUUCUUUCUCUUCCUGAAAAUUAUUCUGUGUGCCUCAACCAAAAACUCACCAAAUAAACUUUUUCUUUCUGCACAAUUCUAUUUUCUUCACUGACACAUCUGAAUCAUCUAACUAACAGUAAUGGAGAUCACUUCACUAAGCUACAAAUAUGCUCUAAAUACAUGCAAUAUUAGUUGGAACAACUAAUAUUUGGAUUAAUCUUGUAUUACCUAUCCUGUUCCAGAAACAAGCUUGUGUGAUGACUGGGGUACAUCAAAACUUUAUAGGUCUUAAGGUGCCUUCCAUUACAAUUUUAUGUAACCAUGAAAUCCAAUCUGGCAAUUAAGUUCCAUAACUGACCAACUUAGGUACAGUUAUGCAUACAUCAAUCAUGAACCUGCAUAUUCAUAACACCAAAUCUGAAAGAAAAAGGAAAGAACAACAAAAAAGACAUACCUCAGAAGCCAUUAAUUUAUUAGCAUAAAGGUUAGAAUUCUCCUUUUCCCUGCUCAUAAGGAUAGGAAACCAGAGAUGGAUCACCUCAAUAUAUAUAUAUAUAUAUAUAUAUNNNNNNNNNNNNNNNNNNNNAUAUAUAUAUAUAUAUAUAUAUAUAUAUAUAUAUAUAUAUGUUAUUGUAAUUGACCUUUUAUUUUCAAUUGAUAAUAUAAAUAUUCAAUAAUAAAUAUUGGAGAUUACAUUUUUCGCGUAGAUAUCCCUAAUCCGAAUUUUGAAGUUUAGCAUAUUGUAUUCCUUCAAGACACAGUAACUUACAAAUAUUUCACUGUAAUUAGUGUUCUAUCUCCAAUUCAUAUUAAUAUCCUUCAAAAAGUUGUUUAUAUUUUUAAUAAUAUUAUUUAUUUAUUUAUUUAUAAAAUUAAGUUUUAAAUCGAAAAGUCAAGUGAGCAAUGAAACUAAUAAUGGAUAUGUUGGGUGUUUGGAGUUUGGAGUUUUUAUCUGUAUCGAGAUCAUUGAUAAUCAUAAUGAUUAAUCUUAAUUUAUUAUAUAUAUAUAUAUAUAUAUAUAUAAUCCUAGUAAUAAAUUUUUAUUAUAUGACGCUUUGAUUUUUACUAGGAGUAUCUUUUUUUAAAAAAAUCUUAAUAAUACCUUUGAAUCGAGUCAAUCGAUUUGUAAUCUAAUUCGAUUCAAGUCAAAUCAAUUUGAAUCGGAUCCCUUAGGAUCGAUUUGGAUAUCCUUUAUGUUCAAGCUACAUUUAUGUUUCAAUUGAAUUAUACGUGUGUUAUAUUCAUAAUCUAUUAAAAUUAUUUUAUUUUUUAUGAAUAAUUAUCAAAUAAAAAAUAGUAUAAUAUUUACACAACAAUUAAAUUGAUCUUAGACUGCACACGAUGGAUUGCAGUUGUAAAUAGUUAAAAGCUAUUAUUUUUCAAAGUGUUGCAUUAAGUUGGACUUUUAACUGUGGUUAUUAGAAACCCUAGUAAUAAGUAAAGCCUUAUGUCGCGGGUUUACUUGUGAGUUAAUUUGAUGAAGCCUUUUCCUCUUUUCAUCAGCCAACCGGUAGAGGAUCAAAAGUGAAGAGUCAAAACAUUUUCUUUUAAAGAGGGCAUUACAGAAAUAACAUUAUAUGUUUGGUGCACAUUGGUAGAGGUGGGUAGUGUGUUUGGUGCUUAAUAUAAUUAUACGUUAUAUGUAAUAAAAAAAAAUUAUAUUAUGAUUGAAAUCAAAUAACAUUAAAUUGGUUUUUAUAUGAUGUAUAUCUUUCGAUGUUAUUUGAAAAAUGAUUUCUGUGUGAUCUGGAUAUUAUAUUUAGAUCUAAAAACUAUUGUAAGGAGAACUAGAUUCUCCUCCUCUCUUUCUAUAAGUGGUUUAGGGAGGUUGAGAGAAAAACUAUAAUCUUUCAACUACGUACUCUAUGACAUGCGUCAUUUAGUUUCUAGAGGUCAUAUCUAUUUAUAUGUGAGAACAGAGAAUAUAUGAUAAAUUAUUAGGAGAGUACCUCCCAUCAAGGACAUCCCCUAUGGAAUCUUACUAUAAUAUAGACUUCUUUUCUUCUUAUCAAUAUCUAUCAUCAGAAUCCAAUUAAUUCUAUUAUAUAUUUUAUUCAAUUAUUAUAAAUAACCACAUGAUAGUAUCAUUCUAAUAAUAAUAGUAAUGUGUAGUUGUGUCUCAUGCGUUUCUUACAUGCCUUACUUCGACCUUCAAAUUCUCACGAAACAAUCAUAUAAUUACUUCGUAUGUUUUUUCUUUAGAUUAUAUAUACUCCUACUAUGUUCAUCGAUAUGGUUGAGGCUCUCACAAAUUCUAAAUUAGUUAAUGCUAAAUUAUUCACCAAAAUAAUUUUCAUGAACCUUUUUUUUUUCCUUUCUCAUUCUUAAGAAUAUUACUAUCUUAUUGUUUGUCAUAUAAAAAAACAGUAUAUUAUUGUUUAUUAUAUAUAAAAGAUCACAUCUAUCUAUGGAGGCUGUGUAAUUAAUUUUCUUUGGCUUUUAUUUUUGUAGAUCUCGGAAGGACAAAAAGAAACUAUAACAUAGGAAACAAAAAGAGGAUGUAGAAGAAAGUAUGUGACUCAUUAUUACUUUAUUUUGAUGAUACCUGUCAUAUAUUCAUUCUUUAAGUAGAAUUUAAUUUUUCUUUCUUUAAGUGAUGCUAAAAAAAAAGAGAAAAGAAUAAAGCUUGUAUAGGAUGUAGUUCUUUGUGAUGAUAGAUAUUUCUUGUUAUUCACAACAUGAUCAAUUUUAUGCGAUCUAUGUUGUCUUUCCUUCUCAGCAUUCAUAUCAUUGUAUUGAAAUUAAGAUUUUAGAAAUAUCCAAUUAUCAUUAUUUUCUAUAUUUAUUUAUUUGCUGCAUGUUGAGGGAACAUAUGGAGAAUUAUUUUUGUAAAAUAUUGAUUGCAUUAUGUUAUGAUAAACUUAUAUGAAGUAGUUAAUUAAAUUUUGUAUUUGAAGUUGGCUAUGCUUUAUUAUUAUUAUUAUUAUUAUUAUUAUUAUUAUUAUUAUUAUUAUUAUUAUUAUUAUUAUUAUUAUUUUGUAUAAACGAUAUUGUUGAUAAAUGAAUUUGUUAGUCUUUUAUGAAAUUAUUGUGAUCCAUCCCAAUGGUUGCUAAGUGUAAUCAUAGAUAAAUCAUCUUAUCUAUUAUAUAGUCUAGUAUUGUGGUUGUCAUCCAUGCUAUAAAAUAUAAUCUUUUUCGUAAAAGAAAUCUAUUAUUAUAAUUAUUUUAUAUAGGGCAAAAGUAUCUAUUACUGUGAUUGAUUUAUUAUUGCAGCUAUUCUUACAUGAUAAAGCAUGAUUUAUUAUUGUGGUUAACGAUUGUGGGAUGAAAUAAUCUAUUAUUGUGAUUGAGUUACCAUAGUAAUAUGUAGACAUUUACUUGUGAUUAUAAAAUCCAUAACUUUUUCUAGUAUAUUUUGUUGUAGUAUUAUUAGAAUCGUAUUCUGGUAGAAUUCUUAAAGUUUUGAUAAUUAAUUAACCUAAAAAUAUCUUUAAAAAUUAAUUUUUAAAGUAGAUUAAAUAAUUGAAUUUAACUUAUUUUGAUUUCAAGGGUAAAUAAGUCAAUAUAUGAAAUAGAAAAUAUAGGAUUUUGUGAUUAGUUUUAUAAUAAAUUUAAGAUAAUUUAUAUAAAAUUAUUAUUAUUUAAACAAUAAGUGUAACUCGAGCAUAACAUUUUUGUUUUGGAUACUUUAGAAUAAUUUUACAUAAAAAUUAAUAUAUUUUUUAAGAUAACUUGAGUUUUUAGUUUUACGACGAAUCUAGGAUAAUUUUAUAUCAAAACUAAUGUACUUUAAUAUUUUUUAUGAAUAAGUGUCACUCCAAGCAUAAUGACUUUUCUGGAUAACUUAGAAUAAUUUUAUUUAAAAAAUAAAAUAUAUAUAUACAUAUAUUAGGAUAAUUUAAA
rnacentral:lncRNA from 1 species